rnacentral:rRNA from 1 species
GACGAACGCUGGCGGCGUGCUUAACACAUGCAAGUCGAACGGUAAGGCUCCAGCUUGCUGGGGUACACGAGUGGCGAACGGGUGAGUAACACGUGGGUGACCUGCCCUGCACUUCGGGAUAAGCCUGGGAAACUGGGUCUAAUACCGGAUAGGACCGCACCGUGAGGGUGUGGUGGAAAGUUUUUUCGGUGUGGGAUGGGCCCGCGGCCUAUCAGCUUGUUGGUGGGGUAAUGGCCUACCAAGGCGGCGACGGGUAGCCGGCCUGAGAGGGUGGACGGCCACAUUGGGACUGAGACACGGCCCAGACUCCUACGGGAGGCAGCAGUGGGGAAUAUUGCACAAUGGGCGGAAGCCUGAUGCAGCGACGCCGCGUGGGGGAUGACGGCCUUCGGGUUGUAAACUCCUUUCACCAUCGACGAAGGGUUUCUGACGGUAGAUGGAGAAGAAGCACCGGCUAACUACGCGCCAGCAGCCGCGGUAAUACGUAGGGUGCGAGCGUUGUCCGGAAUUACUGGGCGUAAAGAGCUCGUAGGUGGUUUGUCGCGUCGUCUGUGAAAUUCCGGGGCUUAACUCCGGGCGUGCAGGCGAUACGGGCAUAACUUGAGUACUGUAGGGGAGACUGGAAUUCCUGGUGUAGCGGUGAAAUGCGCAGAUAUCAGGAGGAACACCGGUGGCGAAGGCGGGUCUCUGGGCAGUAACUGACGCUGAGGAGCGAAAGCAUGGGGAGCGAACAGGAUUAGAUACCCUGGUAGUCCAUGCCGUAAACGGUGGGCGCUAGGUGUGGGUUUCCUUCCACGGGAUCCGUGCCGUAGCUAACGCAUUAAGCGCCCCGCCUGGGGAGUACGGCCGCAAGGCUAAAACUCAAAGGAAUUGACGGGGGCCCGCACAAGCGGCGGAGCAUGUGGAUUAAUUCGAUGCAACGCGAAGAACCUUACCUGGGCUUGACAUAUACAGGAUCGCGCCAGAGAUGGUGUUUCCCUUGUGGCUUGUAUACAGGUGGUGCAUGGUUGUCGUCAGCUCGUGUCGUGAGAUGUUGGGUUAAGUCCCGCAACGAGCGCAACCCUUGUCUUAUGUUGCCAGCACGUUGUGGUGGGGACUCGUAAGAAACUGCCGGGGUCAACUCGGAGGAAGGUGGGGAUGACGUCAAAUCAUCAUGCCCCUUAUGCCCAGGGCUUCACACAUGCUACAAUGGUCGGUACAGUGGGUUGCCAGUCCGUGAGGGCGAGCUAAUCCCGCAAAGCCGGUCUCAGUUCGGAUCGGGGUCUGCAACUCGACCCCGUGAAGUCGGAGUCGCUAGUAAUCGCAGAUCAGCAACGCUGCGGUGAAUACGUUCCCGGGCCU